rnacentral:sRNA from 12 species
GUAAGGAGCUUGCGUCCAGGCUCUCGAUACUUCGGAAGAGCUCCCGGAGUCAGACUUCUCCAGGCGGGAGAAGGAAUCGUUACGGACGCAUCAUGACGUCCACAAUGACGCAAGCG